rnacentral:rRNA from 1 species
UACGAAGGGUGCAAGCGUUAAUCGGAAUUACUGGGCGUAAAGCGUGCGUAGACGGUUAUUUAAGUCAGGUGUGAAAGCCCCCGGCUCAACUGGGGAGGGUCACGCGAUACUGCUCGACUUGAAGGCAGGAGAGGGAAGUGGAAUUCCCGGGUGUAGUGGUGAAAUGCGUAGAUAUCGGGAGGAACACCAGUGGCGAAGGCGAC